GGUUCUAAAAUUCAGUCUUUAAAACACAACAAGAUGAUCGUAGUCUUCUGCAUAGCCCUCAAUGUCAUACUGGUUUCAGGUUCCUCUCUCAGUGACAAAGUCUACCAGACUCCAGCUAAUGUAAUGUACAACGAACAAGGAAAAACAGCCAAAAUCCACUGUUCACACAGUAUUAACAGCUACGACCAAAUCCUCUGGUACAAGCAAUCAAACGGACAACUGCAGUUCCUGGGAUACAUGUAUACAACCAGUGGAAACCCAGAGGCUGGUCUGGGUGUGAAGAUAGAAGGGAAUGCAAAUAAAGACCAAAACUGCACAUUAACAAUAGAAGAACUCAGCCUGAACAGCAGUGCAGUGUACUUCUGUGCUGCUAGGUUACACAGUGCUACAUAUCACUGCUCCUCAGUACAAAAACCUCCUCACAGCUGUGUUCCUUCCUCAGUAUAUCAUUACUCAGAUCUGUAUGCUGAGCCAGUGGUGUGUAAAAGCUAG